GGUAGGGUGGCCGAGCGGUUUAAGGCGGCAGUCUUGAAAACUGUUAUACCUGAAAGGGUGUCGCGAGUUCGAAUCUCGCCCCUACCG
rnacentral:tRNA from 2 species